UACGGAGGGUGCAAGCGUUGUCCGGAUUUAUUGGGUUUAAAGGGUGCGUAGGCGGCUUGAUAAGUCCGUGGUGAAAGCCAACAGCUCAACUGUUGAACUGCCAUGGAUACUGUCAGGCUUGAGUACAGACGAGGUAGGCGGAAUGGAUAGUGUAGCGGUGAAAUGCAUAGAUACUAUCCAGAACACCGAUUGCGAAGGCAGCUUACUAGACUGUAACUGACGCUGAGGCACGAAAAGCGUGGGGAGCGAACAGG
rnacentral:rRNA from 1 species